ACGGGUGAGGAACACGUAGGGAUCUGCCCUGAAGAGAGGGAUAACCGGAGGAAACUCCGGCUAAUACCGCAUAAUCUCGAGAGAGGAAAGGCUAGGUAGCAAUACCCGGCGCUUUAGGAGGAACCUGCGUCUGAUUAGCUAGUUGGUUAGGUAACGGCUGACCAAGGCGAUGAUCAGUAGCUGGUCUGAGAGGAUGAUCAGCCACACUGGGACUGAGACACGGCCCAGACUCCUACGGGAGGCAGCAGUGGGGAAUAUUGGACAAUGGGGGCAACCCUGAUCCAGCAAUGCCGCGUGUGUGAAGAAGGCCUUCGGGUUGUAAAGCACUUUAGGUUGGGAGGAAGGCUUGGAGUUUAAGAGAUACCAAGAUUGACUGUACCGACAGAAUAAGCACCGGCUAACUCUGUGCCAGCAGCCGCGGUAAUACAGAGGGUGCGAGCGUUAAUCGGAGUUACUGGGCGUAAAGGGCGCGUAGGUGGUUAGUUAAGUGAGUUGUGAAAGCCCUGGGCUUAACCUAGGAACCGCAACUUAUACUGGCAGACUGGAGUACAGUAGAGGGUGGAGGAAUUUCCGGUG
rnacentral:rRNA from 1 species